rnacentral:rRNA from 1 species
GGGUUGUGAGGUUAAGCGACUAAGCGUACACGGUGGAUGCCCUGGCAGUCAGAGGCGAUGAAGGACGUGCUAAUCUGCGAUAAGCGUCGGUAAGGUGAUAUGAACCGUUAUAACCGGCGAUUUCCGAAUGGGGAAACCCAGUGUGUUUCGACACACUAUCAUUAACUGAAUCCAUAGGUUAAUGAGGCGAACCGGGG